rnacentral:rRNA from 1 species
GGUUAAGCGACCAAGCGUACACGGUGGAUGCCYWGGCAGUCAGAGGCGAUGAAGGACGUGCUAAUCUGCGAAAAGCGCCGGUAAGGUGAUAUGAACCGUUAUAGCCGGCGAUGUCCGAAUGGGGAAACCCAGUGUGACUCGUCACACUAUCAUUAACUGAAUCCAUAGGUUAAUGAGGCGAACCGGGGGAACUGAAACAUCUAAGUACCCCGAGGAAAAGAAAUCAACCGAGAUUCCCCCAGUAGCGGCGAGCGAACGGGGAGGAGCCCAGAGCCUGAAUCAGCAUGUGUGUUAGUGGAAGCGUCUGGAAAGGCGCGCGAUACAGGGUGACAGCCCCGUACACAAAAGCGCAUGUGCUGUGAGCUCGAUGAGUAGGGCGGGACACGUGGUAUCCUGUCUGAAUAUGGGGGGACCAUCCUCCAAGGCUAAAUACUCCUGACUGACCGAUAGUGAACCAGUACCGUGAAGGAAAGGCGAAAAGAACCCCGGCGAGGGGAGUGAAACAGAACCUGAAACCGUGUACGUACAAGCAGUGGGAGCACAGGUUUACCUGUGUGACUGCGUACCUUUUGUAUAAUGGGUCAGCGACUUAUAUUCUGUAGCAAGGUUAACCGCAUAGGGGAGCCGAAGGGAAACCGAGUCUUAAUUGGGCGUUAAGUUGCAGGGUAUAGACCCGAAACCCGGUGAUCUAGCCAUGGGCAGGUUGAAGGUUGGGUAACACUAACUGGAGGACCGAACCGACUAAUGUUGAAAAAUUAGCGGAUGACCUGUGGCUGGGGGUGAAAGGCCAAUCAAACCGGGAGAUAGCUGGUUCUCCCCGAAAGCUAUUUAGGUAGCGCCUCGUGAAUUCAUCUCCGGGGGUAGAGCACUGUUUCGGCCAGGGGGCCAUCCCGGCUUACCAAUCCGAUGCAAACUGCGAAUACCGGAGAAUGUUAUCACGGGAGACACACGGCGGGUGCUAACGUCCGUCGUGAAGAGGGAAACAACCCAGACCGCCAGCUAAGGUCCCAAAGUCAUGGUUAAGUGGGAAACGAUGUGGGAAGGCCCAGACAGCCAGGAUGUUGGCUUAGAAGCAGCCAUCAUUUAAAGAAAGCGUAAUAGCUCACUGGUCGAGUCGGCCUGCGCGGAAGAUGUAACGGGGCUAAACCAUGCACCGAAGCUGCGGCASGACACUGGAUGUGUUGUUGGGUAGGGGAGCGUUCUGUAAGCCGUUGAAGGUGUGUCGUGAGGCAUGCUGGAGGUAUCAGAAGUGCGAAUGCUGACAUAAGUAACGAUAAAGCGGGUGAAAAGCCCGCUCGCCGGAAGACCAAGGGUUCCUGUCCAACGUUAAUCGGGGCAGGGUGAGUCGACCCCUAAGGCGAGGCCGAAAGGCGUAGUCGAUGGGAAACGGGUUAAUAUUCCCGUACUUGGUGUUACUGCGAAGGGGGGACGGAGAAGGCUAUGUUGGCCGGGCGACGGUUGUCCCGGUUUAAGCGUGUAGGUGUGUGUUCCAGGUAAAUCCGGUUCACUUUAACACUGAGGCGUGACGACGAGGCACUACGGUGCUGAAGCAACAAAUGCCCUGCUUCCAGGAAAAGCCUCUAAGCAUCAGGUAACAUCAAAUCGUACCCCAAACCGACACAGGUGGUCAGGUAGAGAAUACCAAGGCGCUUGAGAGAACUCGGGUGAAGGAACUAGGCAAAAUGGUGCCGUAACUUCGGGAGAAGGCACGCUGACACGUAGGUGAAGUGGUUUACCCAUGGAGCUGAAGUCAGUCGAAGAUACCAGCUGGCUGCAACUGUUUAUUAAAAACACAGCACUGUGCAAACACGAAAGUGGACGUAUACGGUGUGACGCCUGCCCGGUGCCGGAAGGUUAAUUGAUGGGGUCAGCGCAAGCGAAGCUCCUGAUCGAAGCCCCGGUAAACGGCGGCCGUAACUAUAACGGUCCUAAGGUAGCGAAAUUCCUUGUCGGGUAAGUUCCGACCUGCACGAAUGGCGUAAUGAUGGCCAGGCUGUCUCCACCCGGGACUCAGUGAAAUUGAACUCGCUGUGAAGAUGCAGUGUACCCGCGGCAAGACGGAAAGACCCCGUGAACCUUUACUAUAGCUUGACACUGAACACUGGUCCUUGAUGUGCAGGAUAGGUGGGAGGCUUUGAAGUGUGGACGCCAGUCUGCAUGGAGCCAUCCUUGAAAUACCACCCUUUAAUGGCUGGUGUUCUAACGUGGGCCCGUGAACCGGGUUGCGGACAGUGUCUGGUGGGUAGUUUGACUGGGGCGGUCUCCUCCUAAAGAGUAACGGAGGAGCACGAAGGUUGGCUAAUCCUGGUCGGACAUCAGGAGGUUAGUGCAAUGGCAUAAGCCAGCUUGACUGCGAGCGUGACGGCGCGAGCAGGUGCGAAAGCAGGUCAUAGUGAUCCGGUGGUUCUGAAUGGAAGGGCCAUCGCUCAACGGAUAAAAGGUACUCCGGGGAUAACAGGCUGAUACCGCCCAAGAGUUCAUAUCGACGGCGGUGUUUGGCACCUCGAUGUCGGCUCAUCACAUCCUGGGGCUGAAGUAGGUCCCAAGGGUAUGGCUGUUCGCCAUUUAAAGUGGUACGCGAGCUGGGUUUAGAACGUCGUGAGACAGUUCGGUCCCUAUCUGCCGUGGGCGCUGGAGAACUGAGGGGGGCUGCUCCUAGUACGAGAGGACCGGAGUGGACGCAUCACUGGUGUUCGGGUUGUCAUGCCAAUGGCACUGCCCGGUAGCUAMAUGCGGAAGAGAUAAGUGCUGAAAGCAUCUAAGCACGAAACUUGCCCCGAGAUGAGUCUUCCCUGAGCCUUUAAGKCUCCUGAAGGAACGUUGAAGACGACGACGUUGAUAGGCCGGGUGUGUAAGCGCARAGUUGCGUUGAGCUAACCGGUACUAAUGAACCGUGAGGCUUAACCUU